ensembl:snoRNA SNORA70 Small nucleolar RNA SNORA70
AUGAAAACAAUGGCAUCCUUUUCCUCAUGGAGGCCCAAGGUACAGUGACCUGCCAAUAGCAGACUCCUUGGUAGUGCACACAGCCUGUUGCUUGUAGAGGCUGCCCUACGGGACCUUGAAGAUAACC